rnacentral:rRNA from 1 species
GACGAACCGUGCGAACGUUGUUCGGAAUCACUGGGCUUAAAGGGCGCGUAGGCGGGCUGCCAAGUCUGGGGUGAAAUCCCACGGCUCAACCGUGGAACGGCCCCGGGUACGGGCGGCCUCGAGGGGGGUAGGGGCGUGCGGAACUGUGGGUGGAGCGGUGAAAUGCGUUGAUAUCCACAGGAACUCCGGUGGCGAAGGCGGCACGCUGGACCCCCACUGACGCUCAUGCACGAAAGCGUGGGGAGCAAACAGG